CCAGGAGGCAGAUGGUGGUGACCUGGCCUGCAGGAUAACAGUGGAGAUAAGACCAGGUCUUUGAAUGAGGUUCUGCCCUCUGAAACAGAAGUCUACAUCCAGGGAUGGCCACUGCCUGAGACACUUUGGGAGACCAAAUAUCUUCACCUGAACAACUGCCCAGAGUUGCAGUUUAUCAGAAAUCAAUACCCACCUUUCUCUGCCUAGCAUUUCUAUUGGGGAAGAGCCAUGCACAUCACAGGAUCUGAGUUUGAACAGAAGAAUUCAAGUUCCAAUCGGCACUCAAAUUCUAGGCUCAAAGGAAUCUCAGACUCAAGUAUGCCACAGGAGUGUUCACAGCAUCAUCACCAGGAGUUGAUUCCAUCUAAAGGAACCUCUUCCUUUGCUCAUCCAUAAGAAGCAACUCCUCAUCUGUUCCAGUUUUAUCAUGACGUUGCAGCAACUCAGUAACACCUUCAGACUUCAGUUCUAAUUCUAGUUCUCUUGCUAUUCCACCACAUUUGCAGAUAUUUCCUUCACUGAAAUCUUGAAACCCUCAAAAUCUUCAGUGAGGGUUGGAGUCAACUUUCUUCUAAACUCUUGCUGAUGUUGAUAUUCUUUCAAACUACUGCUCUCCCUAUGAGUCAUGAAUAUCCUUAAUGGCAGUUAGAAUGGUCAAUCCUUUUCAGAAGGUAUUCAAUUUACUUUGCUCAGGUCCAUCAGGGGAAUCACUAUCUAUGGCAGCUAUAGCCUUACAAAAUGUAUUUCUUAAUUUUGACUCAAAAGUCAAAAUUACUCCCUGAUUCAUGGGCUACAGAAUGAACAUUGUAUGAGAAGGCAUGAAAACAACAUUAAACUCCCUGUACAUAUCCGUCAGAACUCUUGGGUUACCAGGUGCAUUAUGUCAAUGCGUGGUAAUAUUUGGAAAUAAAUCUCUUUUUCUGAGAAGUAGGUUUCAACAGUGGGCUUAAAAUAGUCAGUAAACUACUCUAUAAGCUGAUGUGCUGUCAUCUAGGCUUUGAUGCUCCACUUACAGAGCACAGGCAGAGUAAUGUAAUUCUUAAGAGCCCUAGGAUUUUCAGAAUGGUAAACAAACGUUGGCUUCAAUUUAAAGUCGCCAGCUGCAUUAGCUCCUAGCAAAAGAGUCAGCCUGCCCUUUGAAAUUUUGAAGCCAAACAUUGACUUCUCUUCACUAGCUAUGAAAGUCCUAGAUGGCAUGUUUUUCCAAUAGAAGGCUGUUUCAUCUGCAUUAAAAAUCUGUUUAGUAUAGCUACCUUUAUCAAUGAUCUUAUCUAGAUAUUCUAAAUAACCUACUUCAGCUUCUCCAUCAGCACUUGCUGCUUCACCCUGCACUUUAAUAUUAUGGGUAGAUCUUAUUUCCUUAAAUCUCAUGAACCAACCUCUUCUAGCUUUAAACAUUUCUUCUGCAGUUUCCUCACCUCUCUUAGCCUUCAUAUAAUUGAAGAGAGUGAGGAAUUUGCUCUGGGUUAGGUUUU
rnacentral:lncRNA from 1 species